rnacentral:rRNA from 1 species
CUUGGUCAUUUAGAGGAAGUAAAAGUCGUAACAGGGUCUCCGUUUGGUGAACCAGCGGAGGGAUCAUUACAGAAGGUUGCAAAACUCCCUAAACCAUUGUGGACGCUACCUUUUAACGUUGCUUCGGCGGGCGGCCCGCUCCCCUGGAAAGCCCCUGUGGCCGCCCGGGGCUGCGAGCCCCCCGGCCCCCCUCGCGGGGGCGCCCGCCGGAGGAUACCCAACUCUUGAUUAUUUUAGGCCUCUCUGAGUCUUCUGUACUGAAUAAGUCAAAACUUUCAACAACGGAUCUCUUGGUUCUGGCAUGGAUGAAGAACGCAGCGAAAUGCGAUAAGUAAUGUGAAUUGCAGAAUUCAGUGAAUCAUCGAAUCUUUGAACGCACAUUGCGCCCGCCAGUAUUCUGGCGGGCAUGCCUGUUCGAGCGUCAUUUCAACCAUCAAGCCCCAGGCUUGUGUUGGGGACCUGCGGCUGCCGCAGGCCCUGAAAUCCAGUGGCGGGUUCGCUGUCACCCCGAGCGUAGUAGCAAUAUCUCGCUCAGGGCGUGCUGCGGGCACCGGCCGUUAAAAGCUGCCUUCUGGCAACACCCAAGGUUGACCUCGGAUCAGGUAGGAAGACCCGCUGAACUUAAGCAUAUCAAUAAGCCGGAGGAAAAUCGAUUCCCGC